rnacentral:lncRNA from 1 species
CAUAUUUUAAUAUAUUAUAUGUGUUUUUUUUAUAUUUUUGUUUGUCCCUACUUUAAUAUGGUUAGGAAUAUUUGAUAGAUCAUUUAUAUAUGUAAAUUAUCCAAUUCACGUUUCUAAGUUUUGAUAAAAUUUGAGAAAAGUUAUUAAACGGUAUGGUAUAAUAGUUUUGUUAAAUUUUAAUACAUAGUAAUGAUAAACAUCAUAAAUUUUUUAUUAUCUCAAAUGCAUUUUAAAUGAUGUGUCAAAAGUAAAUUAAUUAUAUUGUCGCACCAAUUAAUUGAUGAAUACUAGAGAUAAAUUUUUAGGAUAAAAUUAUAGAUGUAUAGCACUGCUCUUUAAUAAAUUGUAAAAUCCAGAUUAAAUAACAUUUUAUAUAUAUAAAACAUCACAACAACAACGUGUUAAACGCUAGUCAUAUAUAACUGGAUGGCAACUUUUCUUGCACACGACAUAAGAGUAUAGAAAAGCAACUUUGGACGCGUUUAAAUAUUAUAAUCACGACACGAAGGACCGGGUCUGAAAGUAUGGGAUUGGAAGGACCGCAGAAUAAUUUUUGUUUGCAAAACGGUCCAUGAAAUCAUAUCAAUAAACGUUAAUAUCGUCGAAAUGAGGCUAAUGAUGUGUUAAGAAUAUAAUAUUUGGUUGCACUUCGCAAUCCAAGUUUGAGCGAGAUAUAUGUUAAAAAAUCAAUUUAAAAUUUACUCACUUUCACUUAAUUUUAAAAAAAAAAAAACAAAGUUACUAGGCGUAAAUUUUAGAGCAUAAUUUUAAGGAACUAAAUAGUGGGGAUAAACGAUGAAUGCAUGAGAAACUGUUGAAAAUCUCAAAAUCCCUCUCGAUUUGAAUUACAACGAGAAAAAAAAUGUGGAAUAAAAAAAAUCGAAAGAAUAUUUUAUGAUUUUUCGAAUGGAAUAAUUAAAUAAUUUCUGAGUUAUGUCUCAAUAAUUUUCAUUGACGCGACAUUAUUAGGUAGACUGAUAACAAACAUUCCCAAGUUUAAAACAUGUUUUAAUGCUACUUAUCUUAAGUGCAGGAGAUAGUAGAGGCUGGCUAAAUUAUAAUAUAUGUAACUUACAUCAACCUGUAAGUAAUUUCUCAUGACCCUUAGUUAUUUGACUAAUAAUAAUUGAGUAAAAAAAAAUUACUUAUAAAUUGAUAUAAGUUAUAUCAUAUACAACUUAGUAAGUUCCUUUAGUUAUUUGACUAAUAAUAAUUGAGUCAUAAAAAAGAUUACUUAUAAAUUGAUGUAAGUUAUAUCAUAUGCAGCUUAGCAAGUUUCCUACCCACUAACCAUAAGUGUUUACCCCAACUAAGGAGUCACUAGAUUGAUAUCGGGAAUCCAGCCAUCGUGUGCAUGGUGCCAAGGUACACCGAGUUUUGUCCGUUUUGCCGUUGCUUCAACGGAUGUGUUAUUUGGUUAUUAACACUACAGACCCUAUUGUUUUCUGAAAAUGCUCUUUGUUGAAAAUUAACGUACCAUAGGCAUUAUCAUGAAUUUCCUCCUUACUUUAUGAGUUAGUGAAUUUCCUACUCCAUUCAUUCUAACUUCUACAAUCAACUAUACAGCUUAAUUUGAAAUCUGACAUGAAAUCAAACACACAAGCAUCUAUUAUUUGCAUCAAGCAUAGCUUUUAAUCUCUGUAACUUUUACUUAGGUAUUUUGUCAGGUAUCAAUACAACAUAGUGUUAUUCUUAAUUUUCAAUAGAUUUUCUUUUAAAUUUUCCUUCAAAAUCCAAUAAAAUUUUAUUUUUUUUAAUCGUUCAAGAAAAUCAAAGGAAAAAUGUGGAGCUGAUUGGAUUUGGAUGCUAAACAAAGCAAAUUGGUUAUUAGAAAAUCUAACACUUGCACCCUCCACUUUUCAUUUAAUUUCUAACCACCACAACUAAUGAAUCUAUACAUUAACAGAAGGGUAAAAUCCCACGUAACAUCCAAUCUCUUCAAUAAUUUCCUUAAAAUCCCACCUCAAAUUCAUCCACAAUUUCAAUCUGUUUAACUCACCACCAUAUGUCCAUACCUAAUCCGAAAUCAAAAUCAAUCACUUAUUGAAUGCUCUUAAAAUAACAACCGGAAACCGAAAUACAUUAAUGCUGAAGGACAAGAAGAAGAAAUAAGAAAAAGACAGCGAAAAAUAAGUAAAGAAACGUGUAGGAGAGUGGAAGAAGAAAGAAGAAAGAGAUUCCAUGUUCUCAUAAAAAUUUAAAUAAAUAGGAUUUUUAUUUUUCUAGGGAAACAAAUAGGACUUUAGAUGUUAAAUAUGAAAACCGGUAGGGACUACAAAUAAUUGAACCAGAAAACGCCACAAUUGGGAGAAUGUUACACCCUGAGAGCAACAUAGUUUUGUCAUUGAUAAUGAUAUCAAUCGAAAUUAAUAUCCCUUUUUAAUAGAGUUAGAUAAGGUCAAGUAUAUAAACUUUGACAAAAGUGAUAAUUAAUUCCAUUGGUUGAUGAAUGAUCAGUGGGCAAUUUGGUUUGAGGAGUUUCUUCACCAAACAAAACAUCAAAACAAUUAGCUCAAAGAAAUGCUGUGGAAGGAGCAGUGAGGCUUGGACGCGUUUGAUGUGUAUUAUAAUCACAUUAUUAACCUCCAUUAGAAAAGUGUAUAUUCGCUUUAAUAUGAGUUCGUGGAUCAAGAAUACAACGAAGUGGUUAACUUAGUUUAUAUUACUAUAUUUUUAGAGCAUAGUUUUGAGGAACUAUGUAAUGUGGGAUGAUUUAGUCUUUUUACAAAUUUUGUCAAAGUUUUGCCAAACUACAAUAAUAUUUUGGUACAAAGAGUAUGCAGAUAUGAACCUAUCUCAUAUUGUUAUGAAUUGGAGGAAAUGGAUGUUAUAAUUUAAAGGAAUCGUAUGUAAGUAAUUAUUUAAAAAUGAUAUCUGAGCAAAUAAUGCUAUAUUCAUAGAGAGAUGAAAAUUGAAGAAACAAGAGAAUAAUACUUUCAGGGAGAAAAUAUAUUGUGUCUUGUCAUUAGUAAGGGAAGAGUAAUAUAUAGGCAUUAGUGGGUGGAGCGCUUGCAUUUCUUAAUUAUAAGAACGUUAAUGGAGAGAGCACUUAGGACUGUUAACAAUAAAGAAGAUAAUGAGGAGAUCACUAUUUGGUGGAAUCCACGUAUGCGUUCUACAAUUUACAAUACAUAUAAAAUAUUAAGCAACGUUGUCUUGUGAUUGAUAAGAUCAUUAAUGUAAAAUUAAUGAAUAUGUGCAUUAAGAUGGAAGUUUUGGUAUAGAUUAGGGGUACUAUAAGUUAUAUUGGAAUGAAGAAAAUAGAGAUAAGAAAACAAAUUCAUUUGUCUCAAUAACAUAUAUUCUUUGCCGAGGUUUUUUUUUCUCAUGGACAGGACAAAUUGAGGUUUGGAGCAUAAAAGUUAGAGUUGAACUAUUGGCACCCCUAUAUAAUCUUUAUAAAACCCCUUUCUUAUUACAAUUACAUUAACGAACAAAAUAAAUCUAAUUAUGCCAUUAUAUAUAUAUAUAUAUAUAUAUCUCUCUCUCUCUAACUCUUUAAGCCCAUACAACUACACCAAAGUCUUUUAGAAUUUUUUUUCCCUCACAAACAACUUUUUCUUUCUAAACUUAUUUUUAAUUUAA